rnacentral:rRNA from 1 species
GAUGAACGCUGGCGGCGUGCCUAAUACAUGCAAGUCGAGCGAACAGACGAGGAGCUUGCUCCUCUGACGUUAGCGGCGGACGGGUGAGUAACACGUGGAUAACCUACCUAUAAGACUGGGAUAACUUCGGGAAACCGGAGCUAAUACCGGAUAAUAUAUUGAACCGCAUGGUUCAAUAGUGAAAGACGGUUUUGCUGUCACUUAUAGAUGGAUCCGCGCCGCAUUAGCUAGUUGGUAAGGUAACGGCUUACCAAGGCAACGAUGCGUAGCCGACCUGAGAGGGUGACCGGCAACACUGGAACUGGGACACGGUCCAGACUCCUACGGGAGGCAGCAGUAGGGAAUCUGCCGCAAUGGGCGAAAGCCUGACGGAGCAACGCCGCGUGAGUGAUGAAGGUCUUCGGAUCGUAAAACUCUGUUAUUAGGGAAGAACAAAUGUGUAAGUAACUAUGCACGUCUUGACGGUACCUAAGCAGAAAGCCACGGCUAACUACGU